UGAAAUGAAACAUGAAAUGAACAGUAAAAAUGCAUCGCGUGACUGCUUUUUAAACUUCCCGAUAAAAUUUCCAAAAACGUCAUGAUGUUUAAAGUUUAAAUUUUAUUUGUUAUAAGAUGAUAAAGGUAUGUACAUGACAGCAGUUUUGUUUGGAUACUAUAAUUUUCCAGAUGCGGUUUGAUAAACACAUUUAAAGUAUACAAGCAGCGAAAAGUAUACAGCUAUGCGCAAAAAGGUGUCUCUCGGAAGAUCUGGAAUAAAUGCUUGUGUGUUGAAAGGAGAUCUAAAAUUAGAAAAGUCCGAUGUAAUAGUUUGUGCAGCCAGUCCUAGCCUUGACCUUUCUAAAGGAAGGGUAGCACGUGAACCUACUGCAGGCGGCAGGAAACCAGGUACAACUUGACUGCAAUGGUAGUUACCCGGAUGGCCUGCAAGGAGAUGAAGUGGCCGUUGUGGAUUCUGGAAAUCUUCCCUGUCAGAAACUGUUCUUUGUUGCUCUUCGUCCUUGGGGGAGAGGACAUUCUCUACAGGAAUUAGAGUCUUUACUAAGUAAAUGUUUAGAAUCUGCAAAUGAUACUGGAUUUCACUCAAUAGCAUUCCCAGCACUUGGUACCGGCUUACUCAAGUACCCAGCAGAUAAGGUCGCAUACACAACACUCCAGUGCAUCGAGGAUUUCAGCAAUGGAAACAGCUCUACAUCGCUGCAAUAUGUCAACAUUAUAAUAUACCAUAGAGAUCACCACAUAUAUUCUGCAUUCGUGAGAGAAGCAAGGGCACGUGCUGUCAGCAACGAUAAUGGAACGGCUCAUUCAUUGUCACUGAGUAACCCUAUGAUUCAGUGCCGAACUCCAAGCUACUGGUCGUCGCAAGGGACAGGCUCAGGUAGAGUGGUCCGCGUCGCUGUCGACAGGAAAACUUUUAACGACGUUCAAGCAAUAGUAACAUCAACCUGGUUAAGCCAGUUUGUCGGACAUGGCCGGGACGGGGUCGGACUUACCAAUUACAGCACGAUCAAAGUGAUUAAAGUUGAAAGAAUUGAGAACGGGCAGUUGUUCAGUCAUUAUGCAAGGAGAAGACAAGUGUUGAGAAGGAAGGCAAGAAGAUCACAUGCUCCGUUUGAAGUUCUAGAGAAUAUUCCAGGAUCAGGUGGAGAUGGUAUCAUGACAACAGACAACGUGGAAGAUGGGUCAGUGUUAACAGCUGAGAUAUGUCAGGAUAUAAAUGAAACAUACUUGUUUCACGGAACAACAAUGGACAAAGUUGGGUCUAUAGCUGAGAAGGGUCUGAGACUUGGAAGUGAUACUUCAAUGUUUGGUAAGGGCGUGUACGCCGCCGAGAGCUCAACAAAAGCAGAUCAGUACGCAGAUCCAAAGCAAAAAAGAGACUUCAAGGGCGAGAAGCAGAUGUUUCUGAUACGAGCGUGUCUAGGAAGAAUUUAUCUGGCAAAGGCAGCUAGAAAGUUUGUUGGAAUGCCUUGCGUAGAUGGGUGUGAAGAUAACUGUUCCUGUGGAGGAAGAAACCAAUGUGAUUCUGUUGUUGCUAAUGGUUACUGGAAUUUCCGGGAAUUUGUUGUAUUUGACAGUUCACAAGUCUAUCCAGAGUAUCUUAUUACAUAUCAAAGAAUUUAAACAAAAAAAAAACACAUGAAAUGAAGUAUUAAAACGGCAUCGAAUUUAAAAGUGCGCAAAAGGUCUUCAGGAGCGGCAAUAGUAAAGUUUUAAAUUUUACGGUUCUUGCCCAUUAGAACUUUGAUUUUAUGUUACCCUGUCUGAGAACUAAGCUAUUCUGAAAAAAAAUACAAAUAACAGAUGCAAAAUAAAGUCAAAAUUGCAACUUUACAACAAUGUAUAAAAAGACUAAAAUUAAUGGCGGAAAAUAUCAAAUAGAAAGGAAACCCGAGAUGCGAUUAAUUUGAUACCAGUAGCUCGGGUUGGGUCAGCUGUAGCAGACUGAGAUUUUCUUUUUCAUUUCUUUCAUUCCCUAAUCUCUUUCUUGCUUUAGCUCUUUGUCACAACCAUAGAAAUGUGGCUUUUUAUGUUUUAUUUGUUCAUUUCUUCAAGUAUGCUCUUCUUUCGUUCAAAAUUCAGGUUUUAGCCUUAAUCAAAGUAUUGCCUUUAUUUUAUACGCAUAUUGCAUUUUCAAACUAUUGUGUAUACAGAGUACGAACCUUAUUCUAGUGUUAACGACAUUGUUAGUAUAUCGUCGCCUUAAUCUUUGACAGCUGGAGAUGGAUUAAUAUUUGUUUUUGUUUUUGUUUUUUUGUUUGUUAUGUUUUGUUGUUACUUUUUUGUAAAUGCUUGUUUCUAGAUCCAUAUUUUAAUCAACUCUUGUGAACAGACUCAGUGAAACCGAGUCUGCUGUUGUAGCGCUUGGUUGCAUUCUAUGCACUCAAAAGAUCUUUAAGAGUUUUAUCAAAUUACCUUCUAUAGCUCUUCAUGUAACAUUCUGUCUUGAUAUACCCACUGUUGAAACGAAAAAUUAGUAACUACUCGCGUGAUUCGAUGUAUGUAUUUGUCAUUACUGUGUCUACCAAUAAGAAAAGUAAGUCUGGAUGAUCUUUCCAAUUAAACAUUUACAACCAUUUCCAAAGUGCAAUGAAAAGCCAUAUUAUCAAAACAUCCUAUUGCAUGAUAACUAGAAAAAAAAAACGAACGGGGAGGUUUUAGUUACGGGGAGUUUUAGUCGUGUUUUUAUAAAACUGCCGAAGCUUUAAAUGUUUUCUUAGCUAUAAAUCUUUUUCAUUGUAAGAAUAUAUGAAGUAAUGAUAAACACUCCUCCUAUUAUCAUAUGCGGCCUAAUCUAUUUUUUCAAAGUAUAUUCAAUCUGCGAUGCAUAAUAAUUAUAUGCACAUCCUAUGCGAAUUUGACCAUAACUUGGAAAAUAGGUAUGUUUUGAUGUCAACUGCUGAAACAGAAUCUUUAUUUCUCGUUAUGGUAUAUAUGCUUAAUGGGGAAAUGGUCUGUAAUGCCACGGAACUGAAAACUCAGAUAGGUAAUAACCAAUAUUUCAUAGGCUUUAAUACAUAUUGUUUCAGUCAGAAUCUUCUCCCAUUUUUUAGACGUUCGCCUGAAAGAUAGGAGUAUUAUGGGAACGCCCUUGGCGGACGGGUGGACGGGCGGCGUCCACAAACUUUGUCCGGAGCAUUUCUUCUUCAUGCAUAGAGGGAUUUUAAUAUAACUUGGCACAAAUGUUCACCAUCAUGAGACAGAGUGUCAUGCGCAAGAAUCAGGUUCUAGGUCUAAGGUCAAGGUCACACUUAGGGAUCAAAUGUCAGAUUCAAGAAUGCCUUUGUUCGGAGCAUUUCUUCUUCACGCAUGGAGAAUUGUGAUGUAACUUGCCACCAUGGUUCACCAUCAUGAGACGGAGCGUCAUGCUCAAGAACUAGGUCUAAGGUCAAGGUCACACUUAGAGGUCAAAGGUCAGAUACAAGAAUGACAACUUAACAAGCUCUCGAGGGGCGUAUUUUGUGACUAUGGCUCCCUUGUUUUAUAAUAUUUUUCGAAGCUUAGCUGUGAGUAUAACAUCAAUAAAAGGUUAUAAAUUAAUGUAAGUAAUUGUGUUUGUUUGUAUAUCUGUCACUUUACUACUUUUUACCUAUACACAUUCCUUCCCAGGUAUUAAUUAAUCAGAAUACCAAUACAGAGAAAGAUGUAAUAGAUCUAAUUUAAAGUGGCACAGACGGCAAAAAUUAUAUAGGCAGAUGUAACCUCAGCGACCGGCUCGUUACUUAUCGGUAACGAACAUUUCGCGACAAUGGAAACAAACUGGUUGUGAAGCUAUUUUAGUCAUGAUUGCUUGGUUUCUUUCUGAUGUAUAUGAUAUAAGCUACUUAUAGGAAAAGAAUAAAAGUUGUACAAAAAUGGAAAAAUAUGUGUUUUUGUUACAUUUUUAAUAUAUCCAAGAAAUUGUUUCAAAAACAGGAAUUAAAGAUUACAUUUCUUUCAUGUGUUUUGGAAUUUAUAAUUGAUUAUUAUUAUUU
rnacentral:misc_RNA from 1 species